ACAUGCAAGUCGAACGCAUUUGUGGUUGAAAUGAUAUGAAGAACUUGUUCAGAUUUGAUUUUCAACAUUGCAAUGAGUGGCGAACGGGUGAGUAACACGUGGGAAACCUACCCUUAGCAGGGGAUAACAUUUGGAAACAAUGCUAAUACCGUAUAAUAAUUAAAACCGCAUGGUUUUAGUUUAAAGAUGGUCUUGCUAUCACUAAGAGAUGGUCCCGCGGUGUAUUAGUUAGUUGGUGAGGUAAUGGCUCACCAAGACAAUGAUACAUAGCCGAGUUGAGAGACUGACCGGCCACAAUGGGACUGAGACACGGCCCAUACUCCUACGGGAGGCAGCAGUAGGGAAUCGUCCACAAUGGACGAAAGUCUGAUGGAGCAACGCCGCGUGUGUGAUGAAGGGUUUCGGCUCGUAAAACACUGUUGUAAGAGAAGAAUGACAUUGAGAGUAACUGUUCAAUGUGUGACGGUAUCUUACCAGAAAGGAACGGCUAAAUACGUG
rnacentral:rRNA from 1 species